CUCAAAACAGCAUGUAUUCAAAAUGUAAAUAAGGCGGUUUAUAGAUGAAUGGGAAGAUUUGUGUAUUUUCACUAAACUCAUUAAAGGUACUGAAUCUGUUACAGUAUUUAUUUUGUAUUUUUUCACUUUGUACUCAGAACAGUGUAAAUAAAAUUACUGUGUGAUCUGAGUCCUGAAUGAAAAGUGGUUGUCCUGAAUAGUAGUUGUAAUAGUAGUUGUAAUUGUAGUUAUCUGUUGAGAUUGUGGAGCUAAUAAAAUAAGCUAGAAAUUCAGUGGAAAAGUUAAGUUAACAUUUGUUGAGCAAAAUAAUUUAUUGCAUUUUAAAAACAUCUUUCAAACCUUGGGGGCAGUGUAGAUUGUCCAAAUGAUAGCCCAAAAUUCAAAGAUAAUUUCUGAAAUUUGUAUUUUCUUUUAUUUGACUUAGGAUGUUGACUUUUCUUGGCUAAAUAAAAUUAUUUUACUUAAA
rnacentral:lncRNA from 1 species